rnacentral:lncRNA from 1 species
AUAAUAUAUUGAUUGAUUGUAAUCAUUUCAAGUGAGAUGUAUUCUGAGAAAAAACACUGUUGUUAAAUAAACCACAGUUUACAUAUUUCAACUCAGGUAGUAGAUGAGGUUCUAUGGAUGACUGCUAACCAAAUCCCCCCCUGGACGCACACAUGCACGCACACACACGGGAUGGUGUGCUACGGACCACUGCUAACCAAAUAAACCUCACCUUACCUUCCCAUUGUUUGGCUAAUAUAGGGUUGUAUUCAUAAGGCACCAAUUGAAAGAAAACAGAUUGAAACAGUAUGACUACAUGAUCUUACCCAAUAACAAACAUUUCUUUUUUUUAUCCCCUUGCAAAAAGUUGCUACAUUUUUUCUGCUGUGUGCCCUAAUGAACAUGACCCAGGUUUGCAUGUUGUCCAGACAGAGAUAAUAAUAAGAGGAUGAGAAGAAGAAGAUCCCAUCACACACACUGAGAGAGAGGAGAGGAGCGAGGAAUUCAGCAGAGGACAAGAUAGCCCUCUCAAUACAGAUCCAUGGAGUGGAGUAGGAGAGCUAUCCCUGUCUCUGCAGGACAGACCAACACCUUCCAGUGUAAUGAGAUGGAGGGUCGCUAUGUUGUUGUGGUCAUCCCUGACAGGAAGGAAUAUCUCACUCUGUGUGAGUUGGAAGUAUAUGGCACUCCUGCAGGUGUUCCAGUGGUGGUCCGACUCCCUGCAGUAGUAGCAGAGACCCUGUUGACGGCGGCGUUGACGUUCCUCAGGGGGAAUGUGCAUCGUGCCCAACUCCAUGGUCUCAGUCUUAGUAAAACAAUCACCUUUUUGGACAGCACAUUGUUAAAGAAAUAUGUCAAAUAAUGUCAAAUAAAAUCAUACUGUCAAGUCAUAAUGAGUUUUGUGGUAUUCCUGGUAUUUUGCACAGAUUUGAACUAUUUUGCACCAUAAAAAAUAUCAGCAACUGUAUUUCAACACCCAAGUCAAAGAGAACAGUGGUGAGAAUGAAGAUCCAAUCAGAUGCUGAUCUGACGGACCAGGCGGUCGGUGAA